rnacentral:lncRNA from 1 species
CUGCACCCAAAUGAACCUGUAUGCAUUACUUGGCACAUUUCUUCUCCUCACAUAAUCCCAAGAUGACUUCACACUAAAUUCUCCUCUUGAUUCCAACAUCCACAGUGGUUUGUCAAGAGCAUCAUGCACGACUGGAGGCUUAUAUGCAGCAGAAUGUGAUUUGCCAAUUGUUCUGGUAAUAUUUCCCUGAUCUUGACCUCAUCCCGUUGAUCAUUGACUACGACAUCAUAUAUGU